UUGACCUCGAAUCAGGUAGGACUACCCGCUGAACUUAAGCAUAUCAAUAAGCGGAGC
rnacentral:rRNA from 1 species